rnacentral:rRNA from 1 species
GACGACGCUGGCGGCGUGCCUAAUACAUGCAAGUCGAACGAGUGGCGGACGGGUGAGUACCACGUGGGAACCUACCCAUCAGAGGGGGCUAACUACUGGAAACGGUAGCUAAUCCCGCAUACCCUCGGAUGUGCCCAGAUGGGAUUAGCUAGUAGGUGGGGUAAAGGCUCACCUAGGCGACGAUCCCUAGCUGGUCUGAGAGGAUGACCAGCCACACCGGAACUUAGACACGGUCCAGACUCCUACGGGAGGCAGCAGUGGGGAAUAUUGCACAAUGGGCGCAAGCCUGAUGCAGCCAUGCCGCGUGUAUGAAGAAGGCCUUCGGGUUGUAAAGUACUUUCAGCGGGGAGGCGUUACCCGCAGAAGAAGCACCGGCGAACUCCGUGCCAGCAGCCGCGGUAAUUC